UCUUCCGCAAUGGGGAAACCCUGACGGAGCGACGCCGCGUGGGCGAAGAAGGCCGCAAGGUUGUAAAGCCCUUUUCUUGACGAAGAAUAAGGUCAGGAGUGGAACGCCUGGCCGAUGACGUUAGUCGAGGAAGAAGCCCCGGCCAAUUACGUGCCAGCAGCCGCGGUAACACGUAUGGGGCAAGCGUUGUUCGGAAUUACUGGGCGUAAAGGGUGCGCAGGCGGUUCAGCAAGCUCGGUGUUAAAUACCCCGGCCCAACCGGGGGGUGCGCUGAGAACUGCUGGGCUUGAGUUCAGGAGGGGAAGCUGGAAUUCCUGGUGUAGGGGAU
rnacentral:rRNA from 1 species